rnacentral:rRNA from 1 species
GACGAGGGGUCCAAGCGUUGUUUCGGAAUUAUUUGGGCGUAAAGCGGGGUGUAGGUGGCUCUAUAAGUCAGGAGUGAAAUCCCCAAGCUUAACUUGGGAAGUGCUUUUUGAUACUGCAGAGCUUGAAUGUGGGAGAGGAUAAUAGAAUUCCAGGUGUAGUGGUGAAAUACGUAGAUAUCUGGAGGAAUACCGGUGGCGAAGGCGGUUAUCUGGCCCCAACAUUGACACUGAGACCCCGAAAGCGUGGGGGAUCAAACAGG